rnacentral:misc_RNA from 1 species
CCCAACCAUCAAACCCUAGAUGAAACCUCGGCAGGAACACCAAGGUCUUCUUCUCCGCGUAGUAGCAUCGUCAUCAUUGGGAAAUCAGCUAGAGAGACCCAUUGGAAGCCAGAGCCACAAUAAAAUGAUCCACCAUUGCUAAGAAGCGAUAACAACUGAGCCAAGAUUGAACAAUUCAUUCUCAACCAGCAAAUCAACUCUACCCAUAAAACACAGGGCUUCAACCAUCAAUUUGGGAGAAAGGCAAGCAAGGGCCAUGGCGUUUCAGGUUGUAAUAG